ACGGGAGGCAGCAGUGGGGAAUAUUGCACAAUGGGCGCAAGCCUGAUGCAGCAACGCCGCGUGAGGGAAGACGGUCUUCGGAUUGUAAACCUUUGUCUUUGGUGAAGAAGAAAGUGACGGUAGCCAAGGAGGAAGCCACGGCUAACUACGUGCCAGCAGCCGCGGUAAUACGUAGGGAGCGAGCGUUGUCCGGAAUUACUGGGUGUAAAGGGAGCGUAGGCGGGACUGCAAGUCAGAUGUGAAAUGCCGGGGCUUAACCCCGGAGCUGCAUUUGAAACUGUGGUUCUUGAGUGAAGUAGAGGCAAGCGGAAUUCCUGGUGUAGCGGUGAAAUGCGUAGAUAUCAGGAGGAACACCGGUGGCGAAGGCGGCUUGCUGGGCUUUUACUGACGCUGAGGCUCGAAAGCGUGGGUAGCAAACAGGAUUAGAUACCCUGGUA
rnacentral:rRNA from 1 species